rnacentral:rRNA from 1 species
UACAGAGGGUGCAAGCGUUAAUCGGAAUUACUGGGCGUAAAGCGUGCGCAGGCGGCUUUGCAAGACAGAUGUGAAAUCCCCGGGCUCAACCUGGGAACUGCAUUUGUGACUGCAAGGCUAGAGUACGGCAGAGGGGGAUGGAAUUCCGCGUGUAGCAGUGAAAUGCGUAGAUAUGCGGAGGAACACCAAUGGCGAAGGCAACCCCCUGGGCCUGUACUGACGCUCAUGCACGAAAGCGUGGGGAGCAAACAGG